rnacentral:rRNA from 1 species
AGUCACUGCUAUUGGGAUUCGAUUAAGCCAUGCGAGUCGAGAGGGUUCGGCCCUCGGCUGACGGCUCAGUAACACGUGGAUAAUCUGCCCUUAGGUGGAGGAUAAUCUCGGGAAACUGAGGACAAUACUCCAUAGGUUUAGGAGGCUGGAAUGCAUCUAGACUGAAAGCUCCGGCGCCUAAGGAUGAGUCUGCGGACUAUCAGGUAGUAGUCAGGGUAAAGACCUGACUAGCCUACGACGGAUACGGGUUGUGAGAGCAAUAACCCGGAGACGAUAUCUGAGACACGAUAUCGGGCCCUACGGGGCGCAGCAGGCGCGAAAACUUCACACUGUGCGAAAGCACGAUGAGGGAAUCCCAAGUGCUUGCUCGUAAGAGUAAGCUGUUUCUCUGUCUAAAACGCAGAGAGAGUAAGAGCUGGGUAAGACGGGUGCCAGCCGCCGCGGUAAUACCUGCAGCUCAAGUGGUGGCCGCUAUUAUUGGGCCUAAAACGUCCGUAGCCGGUUUAGUAAAUGCCUGGGUAAAUCGUGUAGCUUAACUAUACGAAUUCCGGGUAGACUGCUAAACUUGAGACCGGGAGAAGCCAGAGGUACUCCUAGGGUAGAGGUGAAAUUCUGUAAUCCUAGGGGGACCACCAGUGGCGAAGGCGUCUAGCUAGAACGGGUCUGACGGUGAGGGACGAAACCCUGGGGCGCAAACCGGAUUAGAUACCCGGGUAGUCCAGGGCGUAAACGCUGCUUGCUUGAUGUUAGUUGGGCUCCGAGCCCAAUUAGUGUCGGAGAGAAGUUGUUAAGCAAGCUGCCUGGGAAGUACGGUCGCAAGGCUGAAACUUAAAGGAAUUGGCGGGGGAGCACAGCACGGGUGGAGCGUGCGGUUU